rnacentral:tRNA from 2 species
GGGGUCAUAGCUCAGCUGGGAGAGCGCGUCGUUCGCAACGACGAGGUCGGGAGUUCGAUCCUCCCUGGCUCCACCA